rnacentral:rRNA from 1 species
AAUUUUAAGCAUAGGGAGUCCUGCCUGCCCAGUGACUAGAGGUUAAACGGCCGCGGUAUCUUGACCGUGCGAAGGUAGCAUAAUCAUUUGUCUCCUAAAUAGAGACUAGUAUGAAUGGCAAGACGGAACCAAACUGUCUCUUUUUCAUAACCCCGAAUUUCACCUCCCCGUGAAGAGGCGGGGAUAUAAUCGUUAGACGAGAAGACCCUGUCGAGCUUUAAGCAGAGGCUAAAAUUUUAAGCCGCUUACCUUGUGACUAACUAAUGUAUCUAUCCAACGGUAAGCUUUAAACUAUUUAGAAGAAGCUUUGGUUGGGGCAACCGCGGAGUAAGAAUAUCCUCCGCUAACAAGGUAUUACUAUAAUAAGAAUUACAAUUCUACAAUCAAAAUGAGAGAAUGAUCCACUAAGGUGAUCAGAGAAACAAGUUACCGCAGGGAUAACAGCGUUAUCUUUUCUAAGAGUUCACAUUGACGAAAAGGUUUGCGACCUCGAUGUUGGAUCGGGACAUCCUAAGGGUGCAGAAGCUCUUAAGGGUUGGUCUGUUCGACCAUU